GUGCUCACCUUAACAGCACAUACACUAAAAUUGGAAUGAUACAGAGAAGUUAGCCUGAUUCCUGUGCAAGGAUGACAUGCAAAUCUGCAAAGCCUUCCAUAUUAAU
ensembl:snRNA U6 U6 spliceosomal RNA